AGUCGAACGGCAGCACGGGAGCAAUCCUGGUGGCGAGUGGCGAACGGGUGAGUAAUAUAUCGGAACGUGCCCAGUCGUGGGGGAUAACGUAGCGAAAGCUACGCUAAUACCGCAUACGAUCUAUGGAUGAAAGCGGGGGAUCGCAAGACCUCGCGCGAUUGGAGUGGCCGAUAUCAGAUUAGGUAGUUGGUGAGGUAAAGGCUCACCAAGCCGACGAUCUGUAGCUGGUCUGAGAGGACGACCAGCCACACUGGAACUGAGACACGGUCCAGACUCCUACGGGAGGCAGCAGUGGGGAAUUUUGGACAAUGGGCGCAAGCCUGAUCCAGCAAUGCCGCGUGCAGGAUGAAGGCCUUCGGGUUGUAAACUGCUUUUGUACGGAGCGAAAAGGCUCUCACUAAUACUGGGGGCUCAUGACGGUACCGUAAGAAUAAGCACCGGCUAACUACGUGCCAGCAGCCGCGGUAAUACGUAGGGUGCAAGCGUUAAUCGGAAUUACUGGGCGUAAAGCGUGCGCAGGCGGUUUUGUAAGACAGAUGUGAAAUCCCCGGGCUUAACCUGGGACCUGCAUUUGUGACUGCAAAGCUGGAGUACGGCAGAGGGGGAUGGAAUUCCGCGUGUAGCAGUGAAAUGCGUAGAUAUGCGGAGGAACACCGAUGGCGAAGGCAAUCCCCUGGGCCUGUACUGACGCUCAUGCACGAAAGCGUGGGGAGCAAACAGGAUUAGAUACCCUGGUAGUCCACGCCCUAAACGAUGUC
rnacentral:rRNA from 1 species